UCUAUUUGUUUUAGCGAGAAAACAAAUAAAAAAGCCGGAAUCCAGAAUGAAUAAAGAUGGAAGAAAAAGCUAAUUAGUCCUCGUAAAGCAAAUAGAGAAAACCAUAUGGGACUCUGAAAAUACCCAUGAAAUCUCUUCUUAGAUGGCUAAACUGCUUCAGGGGAGAGAAGGAGAGUAAAUCAUCGAUUUGCAGCAGACGCUUCAUAAAUAUUUUUCACAUCCAGUUACACAGGUACAUUUUAACAUGUCUUAAACCACAUUAUCUAAUGCUAGCAGAAAAUACAUCA
rnacentral:misc_RNA from 1 species